rnacentral:rRNA from 1 species
AGCGUAUAUUAAAGUUGUUGCAGUUAAAAAGCUCGUAGUUGGAUCUCGGGUCCAGGCUUGUGGUCCGGCGCAUGCCGGUUACUGCUCGUCCUGACCUACCUCCCGGUUUGCCCUUGGUGCUCUUGACUGAGUGUCUCGGGUGGCCGGAACGUUUACUUUGAAAAAAUUAGAGUGUUCAAAGCAGGCGAUUUGCCUGAAUAAUGGUGCAUGGAAUAAUGGAAUAGGACCUCGGUUCUAUUUUGCUGGUUUUCGGAGCUUGAGGUAAUGAUUAAGAGGGACUGACGGGGGCAUUCGUAUUACGGUGUUAGAGGUGAAAUUCUUGGAUCGCCGUAAGACGAACUACUGCGAAAGCAUUUGCCAAGAAUGUUUUCAUUAGUCAAGAACGAAAGUCAGAGGUUCGAAGACGAUCAGAUACCGUCGUAGUUCUGACCAUAAACGAUGCCAACUAGCAAUCCGCCGGAGUUGCUUCAAUGACUCGGCAGGCUGCCCCCGGRMAACCAAAGUUUUUGGGUUCCGG